rnacentral:ncRNA from 1 species
UAAAAGACAUUGAGCGGAAAAGUAGAUUAGUUAUUUUGCCUAGAAAGUCCCUGACGAUGGAAAUGGGAUCGGAUAAUUAGUCGAAACACAUCUGUGAGUUGAUUUUCUGAACAUAGUAAGAAAAUCCGGGUAGCCCGUUACAGCAUAAGUUUAAUUAUUAAACUUAACGAGACUAAUUUUGUGAAAAAUUAGUAAUGCUGAGGUGGAACCGCGGAAACGCCCUCGUA